GCCGGGCGCGUUGGCGCGUGCCUGUAGUCCCAGCUACUCGGGAGGCUGAGGUCGGAGGAUCACUCCAGCCCAGGAGUUCUGGACUGUAGUGUGCUGCGCCGAUCGGUUGUAGUUUGGCGUCAAUAUGGUGACCUCCAGGGAGCGGGGGACCAUCAGGUUGCCUAAGGAGGGGUGAACCGGCCCAGGUCGGAAACGGAGCAGGUCAAAACUCCCGUGCUGAUCAGUAGUGGGAUCGUGCCUGUGAAUAGCCACUGCACUCCAGCCUGGGCAACAGAGCGAGACCCUGUCUCU
rnacentral:SRP_RNA from 1 species